CCGGAUAAUCGCGCUCAACAGAGUGAGGAAAGUCCGUGCAUCCAAGGACAGAUUCCCGGAGAAACUCCGGACGACGUGAGUCGGUGGAUAGUGCCACAGAAAUGUUAGACUGCCGAUGGAUAUAUUUAUCACAGGCGAUGGUGCAACGGUGAGGUAAGAGCAUCACCGGCGAUAUCGAGAGGUAUCGGCCAGGUAAACCCGAAUAGGAUGCAAGAUAGAAUUGAAGGCUAAAGGUUGUCCGCCCACUUCUAAAAUAUCGCUAGAGAUUGUGAGUAAUCACAAUACCAGACAGAUGAUUAUCUUAAAACAGAACACGGCUUAUGAGCUGCUUU
rnacentral:RNase_P_RNA from 1 species